GCCCUUGAGUUUGAUCCUGGCUCAGGACGAACGCUGGCGGCGUGGAUUAGGCAUGCAAGUCGAACGGUAGGGACCUUUCGGGGUUCUGAGAGUGGCGAACGGGUGAGUAACACGUAGGUUAUCUACCCUCAAAUUGGGGACAACCCAGGGAAACUUGGGCUAAUACCGAAUGAGUGCAGUUUUAGGAUUGCAUAAAAGAUGGCGUAAGCUGUUGUUUGAGGAUGAGCCUGCGCUCUAUUAGUUAGUUGGUGAGGUAACGGCUCACCAAGGCGAUGAUAGAUAGGCGGCCUUAACGGGUGGUCGCCCACACUGGGAUUGAGAUACGGCCCAGACUCCUACGGGAGGCAGCAGUCGAGAAUAGUCUACAAUGGACGAAAGUCUGAUAGUGCGACGCCGCGUGAACGAUGAAUCCCUUCGGGGUGUAAAGUUCUUUUAUAUGUGAGCAAUGCCUUAUAUGUGAAUAGCAUGUAGGGAGAGAUAUUAGCAUAUGAAUAAGCAACGGCUAACUCCGUGCCAGCAGCCGCGGUAACACGGGGGUUGCUAGCGUUGUCCGGAAUUACUAGGCGUAAAGGGCAGGUAGGCGGAUAGAUAAGUUUAAUGUUAAAGGCGACGGCUUACCCGUCGUAAGGCGUUAGAUACUGUUUAACUGGAAUACGGUUGGGGAAGACAGAAUUCCUGGUGUAGCGGUGGAAUGCGCAGAGAUCAGGAGGAAUACCAAAAGCGAAGGCAGUCUUCUAAGCCGUUAUUGACGCUAAACUGCGAAGGUGUGGGUAUCAAACAGGAUUAGAUACCCUGGUAGUCCACACAGUAAACGAUAAUCACUAGGUGUCGGGUUCGAAGAGGAUUCGGUGCCGCAGCUAACGCGUUAAGUGAUUCGCCUGGGGAGUACGAUCGCAAG
rnacentral:rRNA from 1 species